UACGUAGGGGGGCAAGCGUUGUCCGGAAUCAUUGGGCGUAAAGAGCGCGUAGGCGGCCCGGUAAGUCCGCUGUAAAAGUCCAGGGCUCAACCCUGGAAAGCCGGUGGAUACUGUCGGGCUAGAGUCCGGAAGAGGCGAGUGGAAUUCCUGGUGUAGCGGUGGAAUGCGCAGAUAUCAGGAGGAACACCGAUGGCGAAGGCAGCUCGCUGGGACGGUACUGACGCUGAGGCGCGAAAGCGUGGGGAGCGAACAGG
rnacentral:rRNA from 1 species